AUUGAACGCUGGCGGAAGGCCUAACACAUGCAAGUCGAACGAGUGGCGGACGGGUGAGUAAUGUCUGGGAAACUGCCUGAUGGAGGGGGAUAACUACUGGAAAAGGUAGCUAAUACCGCAUACCAUCAGAUGUGCCCAGAUGGGAUUAGCUUGUUGGUGGGGUAACGGCUCACCAAGGCGACGAUCCCUAGCUGGUCUGAGAGGAUGACCAGCCACACUGGGACUGAGCAACGGUCCAGACUCCUACGGGAGGCAGCAGGUGGGAAUAUUGGACAAGGGGCGCAAGCCUGAUGCAGCCAUGCCGCGUGUAUGAUGAAGGCCUUCGGGUUGUAAAGUACUUUCAGCGGGGAGGCGUUACCCGCAGAAGAAGCACCGGCUAACUCCGUGCCAGCAGCCGCGGUAAUUC
rnacentral:rRNA from 1 species